CCUACGGGCGGCUGCAGUGGGGGAUAUUGGACAAUGGGGGAAACCCUGAUCCAGCGACGCCGCGUGAGUGAAGAAGUAUUUCGGUAUGUAAAGCUCUAUCAGCAGGGAAGAAAGAAAUGACGGUACCUGACUAAGAAGCCACGGCUACCUACGUGCCAGCAGCCGCGGUAAUACGUAGGGGGCAAGCGUUAUCCGGAAUUACUGGGUGUAAAGGGAGCGUAGACGGUAAUGCAAGUCUGGAGUGAAAGGCGGGGGCCCAACCCCCGGACUGCUCUGGAAACUGUGUAACUGGAGUGCAGGAGAGGCAGGCGGAAUUCCUAGUGUAGCGGUGAAAUGCGUAGAUAUUAGGAGGAACACCAGUGGCGAAGGCGGCCUGCUGGACUGUAACUGACGUUGAGGCUCGAAAGCGUGGGGAGCAAACAGGAUUAGAUACCCCAGUAGUC
rnacentral:rRNA from 1 species